AUUCUCCCCACGUCCCCACUCUAAUACUUUUUUUUCCUCUUGGGAUCUACCAUGUCCUUUAACUCGUCCCCACAUCCCCGGCCUAUCCAUCUCAACUCCCGAUUCCAUUCUCCAAGUCCACCAUAACCCUAGCCGCAAUGCACCACGAACGAGAUCGUUUCAACAAAUCAGGCCGUCGAACAGCCAUCGAUCUCCCAUCCUCUCCGGCUACCCCAUGCCUCGACCCUCCUCACGGUCUGUUGGUGUCGCUGCUCGACGACCAUACUAGGCGGCGGCCACGCGCUGGAGGCGGCGGCGGGGGAGGGAUGGGACAAGGAGAAGCGGCCGGGCAGCGAAGCAGAGCACCGGGGAAAGGCGGACCAAGGGAAAUCCAGGUACGAGUUGUGUUUUCCCCUUUUAGGUUGAUGUCUCCAAGUUCAUCUUCUGCAACCGCGCGGCAGAUACAGGCGAAAUUUGUCCUGCACGCCAAGCUGUUCAGCCAUCAGGCUGCUCUUAGCCUCUCUCACCAGUCUGGUAGAUCGCAUAUUAAUCUUGAAGCCCACUGUUAACAAGGCUCUUCUCCGUGCCCCAUCACAAUAAUAUCUCGCACUUUGAAACUGAAAACAACAAUACACUACCUGCAGUGGUAACUAAGGUCAUAUGUUUUCUAAUUCGCUGAUCAGCCCAUCUGCAGAAGUAAAGGGGAGCUUUCCUAAUCUCUGUUUUUAUUUUGCUGAUUUACAAUAUAACAUCAGCACAUCAUGGUGCGUGCAACUGGUACUUCGCACUUACAAAGGGCAACUUAGUUAUUGAGGUUCAUCUAUAACUAUUUUUAGCCAGAUCGAAGCACGUGUAAGAUUUCAGGUCAGGCUUUUGUGCUGUAAAUCUGUGAUUAAUUAAUCCUACUGCCAGACUGGCAUGUGAUGGAGGCUAGAUAGUUGAGACUUGAGAGGCACUGACAUGAUUGGGCUAAAUCUGGAUGCAUGCCGAACUGGUUUAUGCAAAUGUUUAAGGCACAAUGGAUCUGAUUUAAGCAGUCAGACUGUUGUAGCUAGAUUAAGCUUAACUGAUCAUAGCCGAACUCAAAAGGAAGUGUAUGUCGUGCGACCACCUAGAGAUGGCUUAAUUGUUUGGUUGAUGGCGUCCAGACCUGAUCAAUGUUGUAGAUGUACUGUACAUGUCGAGACAAGAUACACAUGAAAAUAAAAUGAUUUACGAAAACAUGGGUAUUUUGAGGACCCAACGUUAGCAUUUUAUUGCAACAUCCUUUUCGUGACGGAGAGACUAUAUGAUAUAUUAAAACUAUUUUUUAUAGCAUACUAAAACUACUUUAUUAUAAAAACGUGCGUUGCACUGUGCACGCUACCUAGUGAUUACAGGUACAUAAAUUUUGUUAUAUCAAUAAUUUGCUCACGUUCAUUCUUUUAUUAGCCUCACUUGAUGUGAACGAUAUUAAUGUCUUUGACAUUAAUUUAAUUCUGAUUACCUUUUUUCUUAAAACUAAUCUAUUUUUAUUCUACUUUUGUUUCCGGAUGAUGGGCAUGAGCAAACCAAUCCUUACCUUUUGUUUUUCUAACAGACAUGCACUAAAGUAUUCUUGAGGAGCCUAUCAAACAGAGACAAGGACGUUGCUCUUCCUACAAUUGUAAGCUGUGAUCCAAAACAUAAACUCGGUGCUGAAAUAACAAACCAGAUUCAAAAGAUAAAUGGAUGAUGAUAUGUGUGACAACAAGUUGAAUGGAAGGAGAACAAUGUUGUUGUUGUUGUUGGAUAAUCUACUCUGGAUCUCUGCAUCUUUAGUUAUCUCGUAGGAGGGAAUUCUUGUUGUUAACUUAAUUUCUCGUGGAUGACGUUCCUCUUGUAAUGCUACUAUUUUA